GCCGGUUUGGCUCUGUAGAUAGAGCGUCAGCCUGUGGACUGAAGGGCCCCGGGUUCGAUUCCCGGUCAGGGCA
rnacentral:tRNA from 1 species